AACAAUUGCAUUACACUUCAUACUUCCACACAUUUUCUUUCAGUCAAUAUUUAUAAUACAUCGAUAGCGGUAUUAAUUAAGGCGAUAGUAAUUAACGAACUAAAUUAAACGAAACAUAAAAAUGACAUAUGAAAAAUUCUAUUCAAAAAGUAGUAUUGGACAAACGCACAUGUAUGCGUAACAUAAAGCGUUCUAAGCCAUCACGGAAGACGAGGGUUCGCUCGUGAAUCACUGCGCGAGUGCAUUAAGUGGCAAGGUAAUUGAGUGAAGCGCCGUGUGUCGCGGUGCUUCCGCAACGGCUACUCGAAACUCGCGUUUACGGGGCUGCGUUUCAACCAGCACCAAUGGCGCUACUUGUCGCCGUCGGCAGUGACACGUGUGCGCGUGCGAAUAAUAACCACGUACACGUUCAUACAGUCCGGAGAUAACUAUUGUCCUGGUCUCGGGGUGUAAUGCCCUAUUGUGAAUUGGUCACAGUGACGUAUCGCCUGUCGUCAGGAAAACGACGAACGCACAUUGUUGUAUAUGAUACAACGCGGCACUGCCACUAUGUGACAUCAGGAGGAUAACGGCAACAAUAACAAUAACAACAACAGCGAAGCAUCAACGACGAACACGAUAUACACGCGCUGAACACGCAACAAGCACAGCGGGCAGCCAUAUUAUUACCGUCUUUUCGCAGUCCGCGCCUCUGUUGUAGACAUAAUGGUAACCCGCACCACGGACUCGCUGCUCACCUGCCCAGUGAAGAGAGGAGAAGAAGGAAGAAACGUGCACGUUAGGGGUAAGGAGGGAACCUCGCUAGUGGGGAGACGGCCACUUUGCCUCUUGUUACCUGUACGCUCCUGCGUUUAUUUUUCUGCUUCCUUUGCACUCUCAUUUCCUUGCUUUCCGAGCUGACGAUCAAUCUACAUAACGCUCGACCUUUUUUCAAUUUGAAUUAUUGCUCUCGAAUAUGUUCUACGAAUUGGAAAUACGUCAUCUCCGUUCGUUUAUUUUAUAUAAGAUAAGAUUGAAGUCCUACCGUUAACGGAAAAAAACUUUCUGCUUUCGCCACUGAUACAUUGUAUCAUAUAUAUAUAUACAUUUAUAUUAUUCCGCAUAUAUAAAUCUUGUAUAAAAUUUCAGAAAAAUUCAACAAGGAGUAACUUGCAAAUAAUAUGUUUGUUACUUUAUAAUAGAACUUGGUAAAAAAUUAGAAUAAACACAUCGUUUUCUUCUCCUAUAAAAUUAUUUAAAGAUAAAAAAUGUUAAUAAUGCAAACAAAUCAUUGUAAACUAAUUACAAUAUUUUACUCACGCCAAAAUGGCAAUAGAUAACUUGUGUAAUAUAAAAUUAUACUAAAUCGUGUAUCUUCUGGUUUAUCCAACUAAAUUAUGACUUUAAGUAUAUAUCAUAUGUUCGUGUUUAACACUUUAAUUAAUAUAAGAUGAACUAUUUUUUAGUUUCUUUUUUUUUUAAUGAACGUGAUGAGUAUUAAAUUUGCUUUAUCUACAUAAAGAUCGAAAGGAUAUUUAUCAUACUAAAAUACAUAACUACAUAAAGUAGAAAAUAACUGAGUAAAUUACGAUAUCUAAUAGUAAUCUCGCAUAAUACCUAAAAGAAAGUAUAAAUCUAUUUUUAACGAAAACCAAAACACGAGUGGAAGAAAAGAUGGUAUCGUUUCGUAUGGCCUGCAUGUUUAUCUCUAUAAUAUGCGAGUUUUUUGUACUUCCGUUUCCUUGUAAUUCUAACAAGCGUGAUCACGGACUGAUUAAAUCGUGUGACGCUUUGCCCACGUACGUAAUUAUAUAACUUUUUAGUGAACAUUGAUUAAUUAUUCUCAUUCCCGUCAUUAAGGGAACUUCCGUCAGGGUCACUAAAAAAGUUUGCGCAAACAUUCUACUCCGUUAAAUUUGUGGAAUUAUGAAAUCUUCUUUUUUAAUGACAUUAGCAGAUAUCACGAGUAAUCUCAGAAAUUUUUCGUAAUGUUAAUUUGCAAUGACAUGAGAUUACUCACAACUUAUCUAUACAAUUCAAAAAGAAAGGAAUAAUAUUUGUAACUUACAAACGGCUUGCUUAUAAUACAGAUUAUAUUAUUCGUAAGUACAGAAAAUUGCAAGAAUUAUACAAAAUGUAGUAAUCCGAAUUCAUUUUGCAAAUAUUUAAAUACUUCGCAUUUAAUUUUUAACUGUUCAAUACAUAUUACGUUUUCAUCGAUAUCCCGAACACCUCUUGCCUAAGAGUUUAUUCAGCGCCAUACACGUGAAUGAUAUUCCUCAAAUAUUGUAUGACUGUAAUUUAAGUGCAAUUUUAAAAGGCAGUACAGUGCUUCAAGGUCCUGGUGAUUACGUAGAAUAAUUAUGUAGCGGUCCGUUGUUACGUUAUUACGGCCGCCGGAAUUAUACUUAAUUUGUAGUCAUAAGUAUACCCUACUUUGGUUUACUUUUGACAGUAA